rnacentral:lncRNA from 1 species
GACGAGCUCAAAUUCUGUUUUCUUAAUCUUCACUGCAAUGGUAGGUCAACCCACGUCCGUCCGCCGCUGACCUUCCUCAUCAUAAAUUAACAAGAAUAAUAUACUCCACUCUCUCUCUCUCUCUUCAAAAUCCCCAAUUUUUGCAUUUAGGGUUUCACAAAUCGUCAUCUUUGUAAUCAGCGACCGACAUAAUCAAGCAUUGCGAAGAGCUUAAUUGCAGUUGUAAGGAGAAUUACGAAGCGGGAUUUGCGAUGCCGCGAAGAUGAGAGGAGGGGUACGACGACGAGAUGAUAACGGCGGAGAUUGCAUUUCAUUGAUGAUUUGCCAGAGGAAGACCAUGAUGAUGAGGAUUACGGCGGUGGCAGUGGAAAGAGGAAUGCAAAGAAGAGGUCGGGGUCUCAUUUUUUUGAACUUGAAGCUGAAGUUGAUAGUGAGGAAGAAGAAGAUGAGGAGGAAGGCGAAGAUGGUCAGAAUCUCAUUCAGUUUAUUUUGUGUGAAUUGUUACUAAUAUUUGAAAUUUACUUAAUUAUACGUAUCAUUCACCAUCAUUUACUGUCGGAAUUUACAGUUAGUGUUUUGCGGAAUAUUUGUGUGCAAAACUGGUGAUAUUUGGUGGAAACUUUGGAUAAAUUUUUAAGCUUUAGGAUUUUUUUCAGGAAUAACAAUAUGUUGCAUAGUUUGAUAGGAGAACAGUGUGCAUGAGUUUUAUAUGGGUUGAUGAUGUUGAUUGUCCAUCGAAAAUUUUAUUUUUUUCCCUUUGGGUCUAUACUUUUUUCUUGAAAUUGAUGUCAUAUAAAAUUUUUCGAUGGUUUUUGAGCAUCUUCCGCUAUGGAUUGAAAUGGGGCAGAAAAAUUUUGGUGGUUUUUUGUGGAUCUGCAGCUAUGGAUGAAAUGUUACAUGUAAUUAAUUGAGAUUAGGCUGGUUAGUGGACUGGUAAAAUGUUUAUAGUUAAACGCUUUGUUGUUAGUAAGUUGAAAUAAGGUCUGAACAUUUGUCCUGUGAAUCUGAAAUACAAUCAGAGUGAAAGGAAUAUUAGCAGCUUAGGAUUUCGGUUUAGAAAUUUAAAAUUUGUUUUCUGGUACACUGGAAAGCCAAUGUAAUGUCUUGUAUUGUUGUUUUCCAGCUUAUCAUUCUAUUGUUGGCUUUUCUGAGAAAGCAGUUUACAACAUUUUGAAACUUGAUGUAUGAAACUCAAUGAGUGGAUGUGGGUAAGAAAUUUGUCAAUUGAAUAAAGAUGGAGAAAGGAAUAUGUGAGCUUUCUCUGACUCUGCUGUCCAUGAAUUGGCUUUCCUCCAUAACGUACAGUGAUUGCAAUGUGAGUUUAAGUUGGAUAGAUUCUGUUUCUUCACCUCAUUAGAGUUUCAAACCAAUUUGGGUUGUGUUCUAGUAUUGAACUUUACAGAAUAAUCUCGGCACAUUGAAAUUUAAGUGUAAAGCAUGUCCGCUAACAAUAUUUGAGAAUUGAAUUUGUAGUUAGAUCUAUCUUAGUAUGUAGCUGAUGCGUGCAUUUGGUGUUGACUCAUUGCAAAUUAUCAAUCUUCUAGGGUGAUACACAAUGGUUAUUCAUUGCAAAUUGACUCAUAUGUCUUUUUGCUACUUGCGUUAGGUGGUGUUCAUAAAAACGGCUGUAGGAAGCAUGACAGUUGAAGUGCCAGAGGACAAGCUAAGGAAGUAUAUGAGUUGAUUCGAGUACCAAGAUUGGUUAAAAAGAGUAAGAGCAACAACUGCAGUUACUUUGUUAUGUUUUUUGUUUGAAAUCAGCUUUAUUGUCACAUUCCUUUCACCAGUGACGCUAAAACUGCAUGUAUGUUGUUAACUGUUCUGAUUGUUAUCGAGAAUAAUUUUUUUCAAUUGCUAUCUGUUAAAUGAGGCAAGAAAUUGGCUUACUUGAAAUGAAUUAGAUAGCCAAGUAGGUACACACACAGUUAACAGGAAUAAACUACCUCAAUGCAGUGACAGUGGAAUUAUUGGUUUCAGUCAUCUGAUGUCAACUAUAUCUGAUGUGAAAAGCUUCACCAAUGAUAUGGUUUCGCUGACAUUAGUAGCAGUACAUGAUAUGGCAAUCGCAAGAGCUGGACUAUAAUGAACAUGUGAAUUAUAUGAUUUAGAGAGCAAGGAGGUGAUUUGAGCAGUCCGCAUUUUAAG